AGUAAUACAUCGGAACGUGCCCGAGAGUGGGGGAUAACGAGGCGAAAGCUUUGCUAAUACCGCAUACGAUCUCAGGAUGAAAGCAGGGGACCGCAAGGCCUUGCGCUCACGGAGCGGCCGAUGGCAGAUUAGGUAGUUGGUGGGAUAAAAGCUUACCAAGCCGACGAUCUGUAGCUGGUCUGAGAGGACGACCAGCCACACUGGGACUGAGACACGGCCCAG
rnacentral:rRNA from 1 species